GGGGGGUCCGCGAGCACCUGUUUUCCAGAGACCUGUCCCAGGCUUCCAGUGGAUUUUCCAAGGGCUCUGUGACCAAGAACCACUACUUUCAGAAGAGCCCAGGCCUGUGUUCCUGUGGUGCCCAGAGCGGCCGGGCCGAGCAUCAUGACGUCCGCCUUGGAAAACUACAUCAACCGAACUGUUGCAGUUAUAACUUCUGACAGAAGAAUGACUGUGGGAACACUGAAAGGGUUUGACCAGAUCAUUCAUUUGAUUUUGGAUGAAAGCCAUGAACGAGUGUUCAGCUCUUCACAGGGAGUAGAACAAGUGGUGCUGGGGUUAUGCAUCGUAAGAGGUGACAGUGUUGCAGUCACUGGAGAAAUUGAUGAAGAGACAGAUUCUGCGCUUGAUUUGGGGAAUAUUCGAGCAGAACCUCUAAACUCUGUAGCACACUGAGGAAAAAUUACAUAAUUGGACAUCUGUAAAUCUUGUAUAGAAACUGAUUAUUCUGAGGAUGAUGUAUGGAAUUUUUAUGAAUGUGUAAUUGUAGACUUUGACUCCAUAUUGAUUCAUUGUAAUAUGAUAUGUAAAUUAAAAUAUUUCUACAUUUCCUUGGGAAAAAAAAAAAAAGAGCCCAUAUGCUGCCCUCUUCUCUCUA